UAACUAUUUGUUAUUGGUCCUACAGGGGUGUCCUAAUUUAGACUAAUUACUUAGCCAUAUUUUCGGGUUAGUGAUAAUCAGUGCGCUUCUACUUAGGUAUCAAUUCAAUGGAGUAGUUCGCAUGCGUGAUGAGCUAGACGCUACUUUUUGGUGAUACAUGCUCGUGAUAAUAUGAUUCAUUCGAACGGUGUCCCGAGCGCUAGGGGACGGGUAAAGAUACUAGUGGCGGGAAGUAAUAAGGUAGGAGAUGCAGCCAGGCAUCACCGGGUAAUGAUAUCUUACCACUCUUCAAUGGGGUCGCUCCCCAACCGACUGGCAAAAAUACCGUUGAAUGCUAUUAUCGCUCAAAAGUGCAAAAGUUGAAAGAGAAAUGAAAUGAAAAGGGUCCAUCUUUUGGACCGAAGAAAUGAGGUUUCAGACAAAAAUGCAUGUGCUUGAUGAUCAAUGAAAUAUUUGAAUUGUUGCCUUGACUGUUUUAUAAUGUGGGGUAUUUCCAUGGUCAAACUUGUAACUUUGGUAUACGUUUCUCACCCGAGCUUCGGCUUAUGAAAACCUUUUCCAAUUUUUCAGGUUAAGGUAGACAGCAAGUUGUGGACUAAAUGGAGUGCUAGAUUAACCGUGGAGAAUCGUUUAUUGUCUAAUGGUUUGUAAUUAUUAUACUUGUACACUUAGAAGCUCUGGAAUUAUGUUAUUUAUUCUACGCUUCCGCAUACUUUGCAUAU